AUUGAACGCUGGCGGCAGGCUUAACACAUGCAAGUCGGGCGGAGAUGAGGUGCUUGCACCUUAUCUUAGCGGCGGACGGGUGAGUAAUGCUUAGGAAUCUGCCUAUUAGUGGGGGACAACAUUCCGAAAGGAAUGCUAAUACCGCAUACGCCCUACGGGGGAAAGCAGGGGAUCUUCGGACCUUGCGCUAAUAGAUGAGCCUAAGUCGGAUUAGCUAGUUGGUGGGGUAAAGGCCUACCAAGGCGACGAUCUGUAGCGGGUCUGAGAGGAUGAUCCGCCACACUGGGACUGAGACACGGCCCAGACUCCUACGGGAGGCAGCAGUGGGGAAUAUUGGACAAUGGGCGGAAGCCUGAUCCAGCCAUGCCGCGUGUGUGAAGAAGGCCUUUUGGUUGUAAAGCACUUUAAGCGAGGAGGAGGCUACCUGGAUUAAUACCCUAGGAUAGUGGACGUUACUCGCAGAAUAAGCACCGGCUAACUCUGUGCCAGCCGCCGCGGUAAUAC
rnacentral:rRNA from 1 species